GCUUUCGUCAGCUUCCCUUCCUGUCGUAGGGAUUUCGGGCGCCAACGUUGGUCAGGACAGCCGUGUGGACGGUGCCUAACCAGCUCCCCUAAUUGUGCAAGUCCGUUCCUAACAAUUCGGCUGAGCCUGAUCCUCCGUCAUCUGUCAAGCGUAGCUGCCACCAAGAAGCCUCUCAACCGUCCAGGCUGCUUCAGCCUGGGUCACAAGGCUCCAAAGCCAAGAAGUCCAGUGAUAAGUUCCAGACAGCCAUAUACCACAUCAUCAGAGGUCGUGACACCUUGAGGCAUGCGUGGGGCAGAAGCAAUGUCUACCGUAUCGUCUCCAUAAGAAAUAAGAGCUGGAGAAGUUGCUAUUCAGAGAUCAGGAUCAAGAGAGAGAUUCUUCAGGAUGUUGGAAGAAUGUGAACAGUAUCAUUUCUGCUUGUGACAUUGAUUUGAGUCUUGGUGGGAACUUUUGGCUCCAUUCAUGCUGACUAGGU